rnacentral:ncRNA from 2 species
UCACACCCUGCGGGAGAGCUCCGAUCGAACCGGCACGCCACAAGGCCACCGUCCGAUCGGACACCGAAGGAGCAACCUCCCCGUCAAUCUCUCAGGUCUCACGACCGCAGGAGUCAG